GAUGAACGCUAGCGGGAGGCCUAACACAUGCAAGCCGAGCGGUAUUUGUCUUUCGGGACAGAGAGAGCGGCGUACGGGUGCGGAACACGUGUGCAACCUGCCUUUAUCAGGGGGAUAGCCUUUCGAAAGGAAGAUUAAUACCCCAUAAUAUAUUGAAUGGCAUCAUUUGAUAUUGAAAACUCCGGUGGAUAGAGAUGGGCACGCGCAAGAUUAGAUAGUUGGUAGGGUAACGGCCUACCAAGUCAGUGAUCUUUAGGGGGCCUGAGAGGGUGAUCCCCCACACUAGUACUGAGACACGGACCAGACUCCUACGGGAGGCAGCAGUGAGGAAUAUUGGACAAUGGGUGAGAGCCUGAUCCAGCCAUCCCGCGUGAAGGACGACGGCCCUAUGGGUUGUAAACUUCUUUUGUAUAGGGAUAAACCUAGAUACGUGUAUCUAGCUGAAGGUACUAUACGAAUAAGCACCGGCUAACUCCGUGCCAGCAGCCGCGGUCA
rnacentral:rRNA from 1 species